UACGUAGGGGGCAAGCGUUGUCCGGAAUCAUUGGGCGUAAAGAGCGUGUAGGCGGCCCGAUAAGUCCGCUGUGAAAGUCCAGGGCUCAACCCUGGAAUGCCGGUGGAUACUGUCGGGCUCGAAUCCGGAAGAGGUGAGUGGAAUUCCUGGUGUAGCGGUGAAAUGCGCAGAUAUCAGGAAGAACACCUAUGGCGAAGGCAGCUCUCUGGGACGGUACUGACGCUGAGGCGCGAAAGCGUGGGGAGCAAACAGG
rnacentral:rRNA from 1 species